AAGCGCUUGUGACCAGACUUGGGCGCGGCGGAUCAUCCGGGGUUCUCUCCGGUGCACUUCGCCGCGUCUAGGCCAGCAUCAGUUCGUCGCGGGGGAAAAAGGCUUCGGGAACGUGGCUCCUCCGGGAGUGUUAUAGCCCAUUGUGUAAUACCCUGUGGUGGACUGAGGUUCGCGCAUCUGCAAGGAUGCUGGCGUAAUGGUCAUCAGCGA
rnacentral:rRNA from 1 species